GAUGAACGCUGGCGGCGUGCCUAAUACAUGCAAGUCGAGCGAACGGACGAGAAGCUUGCUUCUCUGAUGUUAGCGGCGGACGGGUGAGUAACACGUGGAUAACCUACCUAUAAGACUGGGAUAACUUCGGGAAACCGGAGCUAAUACCGGAUAAUAUUUUGAACCGCAUGGUUCAAAAGUGAAAGACGGUCUUGCUGUCACUUAUAGAUGGAUCCGCGCUGCAUUAGCUAGUUGGUAAGGUAACGGCUUACCAAGGCAACGAUGCAUAGCCGACCUGAGAGGGUGAUCGGCCACACUGGAACUGAGACACGGUCCAGACUCCUACGGGAGGCAGCAGUAGGGAAUCUUCCGCAAUGGGCGAAAGCCUGACGGAGCAACGCCGCGUGAGUGAUGAAGGUCUUCGGAUCGUAAAACUCUGUUAUUAGGGAAGAACAUAUGUGUAAGUAACUGUGCACAUCUUGACGGUACCUAAUCAGGAAGCCACGGCUAACUACGUGCCAGCAGCCGCGGUAAUACGUAGGUGGCAAGCGUUAUCCGGAAUUAUUGGGCGUAAAGCGCGCGUAGGCGGUUUUUUAAGUCUGAUGUGAAAGCCCACGGCUCAACCGUGGAGGGUCAUUGGAAACUGGAAAACUUGAGUGCAGAAGAGGAAAGUGGAAUUCCAUGUGUAGCGGUGAAAUGCGCAGAGAUAUGGAGGAACACCAGUGGCGAAGGCGACUUUCUGGUCUGUAACUGACGCUGAUGUGCGAAAGCGUGGGGAUCAAACAGGAUUAGAUACCCUGGUAGUCCACGCCGUAAACGAUGAGUGCUAAGUGUUAGGGGGUUUCCGCCCCUUAGUGCUGCAGCUAACGCAUUAAGCACUCCGCCUGGGGAGUACGACCGCAAGGUUGAAACUCAAAGGAAUUGACGGGGACCCGCACAAGCGGUGGAGCAUGUGGUUUAAUUCGAAGCAACGCGAAGAACCUUACCAAAUCUUGACAUCCUUUGACAACUCUAGAGAUAGAGCUUUCCCCUUCGGGGGACAAAGUGACAGGUGGUGCAUGGUUGUCGCCAGCUCGUGUCGUGAGAUGUUGGGUUAAGUCCCGCAACGAGCGCAACCCUUAAGCUUAGUUGCCAUCAUUAAGUUGGGCACUCUAAGUUGACUGCCGGUGACAGACCGGAGGAAGGUGGGGAUGACGUCAAAUCAUCAUGCCCCUUAUGAUUUGGGCUACACACGUGCUACAAUGGACAAUACAAAGGGCAGCGAAACCGUGAGGUCAAGCAAAUCCCAUAAAGUUGUUCUCAGUUCGGAUUGUAGUCUGCAACUCGACUACAUGAAGCUGGAAUCGCUAGUAAUCGUAGAUCAGCAUGCUACGGUGAAUACGUUCCCGGGUCU
rnacentral:rRNA from 1 species